rnacentral:rRNA from 1 species
GACGAACGUUGGCGGCGCGCUUAAUACAUGCAAGUCAACUGAAGCACCGGUAGUAAUACUGGUGUGGAGGUGGCGCACGGGUGAGUAACACGUAGGUAAUCUGCCUUCAGGUCUGACAUAACCCCGAGAAAUCGGGGCUAAUAGCAGAUGAUGCAGCAGCUUGACAUCAAGACAGUUGUUAAAGCUUCGGCGCCUGAAGAUGAGCCUGCGUCUGAUUAGCUAGUUGGCGGAGUAAUGGCCCACCAAGGCUACGAUCAGUAACUGGUCUGAGAGGAUGAUCAGUCACACUGGAACUGAGACACGGUCCAGACUCCUACGGGAGGCAGCAGUAAGGAAUAUUGCUCAAUGGGAGAAAUCCUGAAGCAGCAACGCCGCGUGAGGGAUGAAGGGCUUUUGCUCGUAAACCUCUGUAGUGAGGGAAAAAUUUCCACUCUGUGGAAUAUGAUGGUACCUC